GGCCCCUUAGCUCAGUGGUUAGAGCAGUCGACUCAUAAUCGAUUGGUCCCCAGUUCAAGUCUGGGAGGGGCCACCA
rnacentral:tRNA from 228 species